ensembl:lncRNA
GAGAGAGAGCGAGAGAGAGAGUAGAGAACAGUAUACAGCGGACAGUUUUCCAGUGAAGGAGGUGUGUCCUCUGUGUCUAUUACAGUGAAGGAGGUGUGGCCUCUGUGUCUAUUCCAGUGAAGGAGGUGUGGCCUCUGUGUCUAUUACAGUGAAGGAGGUGUGGCCCCUGUGUCUAUUACAGUGAAGGAGGUGUGGCCUCUGUGUCUAUUCCAGUGAAGGAGGUGUGGCCCCUGUGUCUAUUACAGUGUAGAAGGUGUGGCCUCUGUGUCUAUUACAGUGAAGGAGGUGUGGCCUCUGUGUCUAUUACAGUGUAGAAGGUGUGGCCUCUGUGUCUAUUACAGUGUAGAAGGUGUGGCCUCUGUGUCUAUUACAGUGAAGGAGGUGUGGCCCCUGUGUCUAUUACAGUGAAGGAGGUGUGGCCUCUGUGUCUAUUCCAGUGAAGGAGGUGUGGCCUCUGUGUCUAUUCCAGUGAAGGAGGUGGGGCCUCUGUGUCUAUUACAGUGAAGGAGGUGUGUCCUCUGUGUCUAUUACAGUGUAGAAGGUGUGGCCUCUGUGUCUAUUCCAGUGUAGAAGGUGUGGCCUCUGUGUCUAUUCCAGUGAAGGAGGUGUGGCCUCUGUGUCUAUUCCAGUGUAGAAGGUGUGGCCACUGCAUUUAGUUUAGAUUUAAACAGCUCUAAAUUUGUAUGAUAUUGAUCGCUGACUAUUUUAAACAUAUUUCCUGCCUUGGAUUGCGGAUCACAGAGAUAAAAGGUGCUUGGGCAGUUUCUAAGGUUUGAAUCUGCAUACUUUAGCAUAUUUUACAUGGCAGUAUUAUUUGCACAGGUCUCACACAGAAUGACUGUGUGCAGAAAUAAUUCAAAUAAAGCUUUAACGAUAAGCUGUUUCGCGCGGUGAGCAGUUUCUCAGGGUGUCACCUCGUGUUAGAGCGUCUCACUGUGUGAAAUGGAUUAAUCUACCUUUCUCUCAGAGGAACACACUGAGCAACAGUCUGUCACCACAAUGCACAAUGCUUACACUGCUCACACGGUAAAGCUCAUUUUAAUCUCAAAAUUGAUACACCUUUAACGAUAACAGCCUUUUAAUUUAAAACACAGACCGGAUUUAGUUUUAUAACACGGCGCUGUUGAAUUCCGGAUUCUGAUUGGUCAGAACCCAUCAUGUGUAUUAUUUUUUGCCUAAUAGAGAGUUUUAGGCCUCAGAGACACUCAGGUUUUCCCAAACACAAUAAUCACAUUCCAGCUAAUUUCAUUAGUGCAGCUAGACACCCCAUUGCAUAUUGAAUGGUUAGCAUAAAGCGCUAGGUCUUAGCUCAACUCUUUAAACCACAAUAAAAACAAAGUCUAAUCUCAGAGUUCAGCGGAGCUCAAUAGUGUGACUCAUUAGCACGCCUGAGCCGAUGGUGAUUAAUGAACCUGGACUGUACGGCUGUGUUUCAUUCGAGCACAGUGGCUCCUUUGUGUCCUUUUGUCCUGCUGAAGGAUUCUCUAUGUGAGUUUCAUAAAGGAACAAAAAGACACACACAUACAAAAAACCCUGACACGUCUUUCCAUUAAUUGAGUGCGUUCGGAGCACCAGAGGAGCGUGGAAGUAGGACAGACAGUCCCCACGUCCCCGAGAGUGUCUGGAGCGCUGCUCACACAGCCAACAAAUAAAAACGCCGUCCGCCGAGGAUCCACAUCUGAGCUCAGUUACAAGACCAGCAGGUUUGUGGAGCAACCGAAGAUGUGUGCGCUGCUCUGCAACGAGAAACAAGGACAACGUUUUGCUGUGGGAAAAAUUCUGAUUGCGUCAUACCACAGUUUGAGCUUUAAUUAGACUCGUUUACAUCAGGAAGAAGAAGACGAAGGACUUUAUGCGGUUUUCAUUAAGCCAUAAAACUACACUGAACAGUACGCAUUCAUCUCAGUGUCCCUCAGAUUGAUGAACUCAUUUUCAUGGAAAUUAAAACUAGAUGCUCUGUGUACAUUCCAGCAUUUAACAGCAUCUGUCAUAGUCUGAGUGAAGGAGGAGUGGUCUCUAUCACAGUCUGAGUGAAGGAGGUGUG